rnacentral:rRNA from 1 species
GUGGCAUGGGAUUCGCUACGGGAUAAGUCCGGGGAAACGGCGCGGAUGCUGGAUACGAUUCGACCUGGCACGAGUCUUGGGAGGAAAGUUUUUCGGUGAAGGAUGAGCUCGCGGCCUAUCAGCUUGUUGGUGAGGUAAUGGCUCACCAAGGCUUCGACGGGUAGCCGGCCUGAGAGGGUGACCGGCCACACUGGGACUGAGACACGGCCCAGACUCCUACGGGAGGCAGCAGUGGGGAAUAUUGGACAAUGGGCGAAAGCCUGAUCCAGCAACGCCGCGUGAGGGAUGACGGCCUUCGGGUUGUAAACCUCUUUCAGCGGGGACGAAGCGAAAGUGACGGUACCCGCAGAAGAAGGACCGGCCAACUACGUGCCAGCAGCCGCGGUAAUACGUAGGGUCCGAGCGUUGUCCGGAAUUAUUGGGCGUAAAGGGCUCGUAGGCGGUCUGUCGCGUCGGGAGUGAAAACACGGGGCUUAACCCCGUGCCUGCUUCCGAUACGGGCAGACUAGAGGUAUGCAGGGGAGAACGGAAUUCCUGGUGUAGCGGUGAAAUGCGCAGAUAUCAGGAGGAACACCGGUGGCGAAGGCGGUUCUCUGGGCAUUACCUGACGCUGAGGAGCGAAAGUGUGGGGAGCGAAUGGGAUUAGAUACCCCAGUAGUC